rnacentral:tmRNA from 1 species
GGGGGCGAACCGGGUUCGACGGGGAUAUGAGGGUUCUGGUCGCACGCCGGGGUACUGUUGGCCCGUAAAACAAACAGCACUGCGAAAUUUAUCCGCAGACAAUAACGGUUACGCUCUAGCGGCCUAAGGGCCGUUAGCGUCCCGCCGCUGUUCGCUCAUGGCAGCGGGCCGGGGCGUCAUUUAAUGAGCUAGGCGGCUAUCAUUCGCCGGUUGGAUGGUUGUCCGAAGUUUAAAUCGGCUGGCUUUACGGCAGCCUGUCCGUGGGCGUCCGCAGGGCGAGCUCCAAAUCGCGGGAUAAGCGUGUAGUGGCCAAUUCCUGAAGAUCUUCGGACGGGGGUUCAAUUCCCCCCGCCUCCACCA